UAUUAUUAUAAGAGGAAAAGUGCCUACCCAUUCUUGUUGUCGGCGGAGGUGGAACGAGGAAUCCUAGCUAGCCGCCUGUGAAAGGCCCAGAUUGAUCCGCAAGUCGACGAUGGCGUUGGUUCGGUGCACCGCGAGGAGACUGGGUGGCUCCGUGCUCCAGCGAACGCAGGCGGCCGUCGCGGAGGAGGGACGCAGGCUCGUGCCAAGCAGGUUCAUGCGCUCCCGUCAGCUCUCCGGCGAUGUCUCGAUCGAGGCGCUUGAUGUCCUACGGGCGUACAGUUCAGGGUCUGGUCGAUGCAGUUAAAGGGUUAUUAUUUUUGUGUAUGAUUUCUGCUGCUGUCCUCGGUCUCGGUUUAGACAAGGGGGUAGAAGCCACAGCUAGUACCAGGGAAAGCAGUGAAGACAAGAUCGAAAAUUGAGGACCAAAGAUGGCCCAAGCUUGUUUUCAAUUCAAUUACGACCUCUACAGUUUUGCUAGCUGGCAGUAUGCUAUCAUACCUUGUGAUAUUGUGUGAUACUAUUUGAGUAGA